UACGGAAGGCAGCAGUGGGGAAUAUUGCACAAUGGGCGCAAGCCUGAUGCAGCCAUGCCGCGUGUAUGAAGAAGGCCUUCGGGUUGUAAAGUACUUUCAGUCGUGAGGAAGGUGUUAAGGUUAAUAACCUUAGCAAUUGACGUUAGCGACAGAAGAAGCACCGGCUAACUCCGUGCCAGCAGCCGCAGUAAUACGGAGGGUGCGAGCGUUAAUCGGAAUUACUGGGCGUAAAGGGCACGCAGGCGGUUAAUUAAGUUGGAUGUGAAAUCCCCGGGCUUAACCUGGGAAUGGCAUUCAAGACUGGUUAGCUAGAGUCUUGUAGAGGGGGUUAGAAUUCCAUGUGUAGCGGUGAAAUGCGUAGAGAUGUGGAGGAAUACCGGUGGCGAAGGCGGCCCCUGGGACAAAGACUGACGCUCAUGUGCGAAAGCGUGGGGAGCAAACAGGGAUUAGAUACC
rnacentral:rRNA from 1 species